UGCUGAAUUACAGUGCGAUUCUCCUUUGGCAUGCGGAGAAUGCACAUGCAUGAUUUCUGCCAUGCCAAAGGAGACUUGCCCUGCCAUUCAUCA
rfam:Spinacia oleracea cultivar SynViroflay scaffold17273.con0004.1, whole genome shotgun sequence.